ACCUGGGGAUGGGGGGUGGUCAGAAGAGAAGCCGACCAGACCAUCAGCACCUGGCCCGACACCAGAUCAUUCAAAUCCGAAUGGCCCCGCCAUUGAGGAGGUUGUCUUUCAAAUAGCUCUCCUGGGAUUCUAAUAAACAGGGUUAAAUUCAUGUCUUGAAAGGAUUCCAUUGCCUAUCCUAAAUAAAGAUCAACUGUGGACCACAGCUGUUGGCUGUGAACACUGGCUGUAGGUCAUGUGUCUAAAAAUAACCAUUGCAGAUCCUAACCCAGUGUCUCCUUAGUUGUAAGGAUUAAAAGUGGAGAUACUAGGCUGUAGACAACAGAGCCUUGUAGGUAGGUGGUUGGUGUGUGUGUCAUGUCUCCUCAUACUAUUUGAAAGAUGAAAAGCAACUACUGAAUGACAAUCUCUGUAGUGACUUAAUUCCACUGAUGUGAUGUUUAGGUGGGUGGCUGGUUGCUAAAGACACGAAGGAUGUGAGUAGAUUUACUCGCAACUUAUGCAACAAUGACCAGGCAACUGAAAAAGUUAGAGAAUGGUCCCACUCAUCUUGCUUCCUACAAGGCCAGUCACAACCAUUCCACUGACAAACUAUAGGAAAAAAGCAAAAAUUAGAUGUGAGAGAUGUAUUCAACCGAAGUAAAAACGUAAUGGAUCUGUGGUAUUUUGAGGAAAUUCCUGAGACCAACAGAGAGGCACAGGGGGAAGGAUGAAUGAGAAUACUCUUAAGUCACAGGUACGGGAUAAAAAAUUUGUGAGCCUUUGUAGGUGACCUGAAAGUUAACAGUACUUUAUUGCUGUUUUCUACAAUCUGUAGGGCAAUAUUAAUAUUCACAGCAAAUUUAACAAGGAUUUGAAUACCUACUAUGUACUGUCCUAGUUAUUAUACCCCCAUACUAAAAUGUACCCAGUGUAAAUCCUUAAGAUUUCAUACAUUAGAAAUGGAUUUACAUGAGUCUGAACAAAGCAUUAGUCAUUUAACUUCAUACUGUAUUUAGACAUUUCUCUCAAGUAAAAAGCAUCCUAGCAGGUGAAUGAAAAAUGCUAACUGCAAUGGAAUGCUUGAAAUAACAAGUAGGGUCUUGAAAUAAAACUUUUAAGUUCUAAACAAAAAUCACAAGUUAAACUGGUGGCUUCUGAGGUCCUCCUCAGUGAACAUCUAAACAAAUUAUGCUAACAGUAAACAAUGCUAGCUGAAUACAGGUUUCUGAAUACUUCUAUUACUAUACAGUAAAUUUUUUUAUUAAGUUAAUGAAAGGAAGAAUUAGUAUUUCACAUUCCAGAGUUCAGAACUUAAAAGAUCUGGGAGAUAUUUACUAUUUACUUCUUAAAUGGCUCCAUUCUCAUUUUUAAAGAUAUCAACCAGCAGUCUGACUACUGGAAAACAAAUAAGUAGUUUGAAAGAAAGAUGAAAAGUGGUGGCCAAUUUAAUUAUUCAUCAUUAACGAAGAAAACACCAAAGUUUUGGAAGAGCACUUUACAAAACCUAGUGCCUAUCUCAAGUGUGAUGAAGCAUCAAGCACCGGUAUAUGGACCCGAUAAACCUACAGAUGAAAGUAAACAAGGGCAAGUUCAUGAAACCCCUUCAGGAAACUAUAGUAGACUGGAAAGAUAUCACAGAACGGUAUGGCGAAAGGCUUCUUGUUUGUUAAGACAACGCACAAGUAACUAGAUAUAGAAGGGAAAUGUAAUGAUCAGCUGAAAGCAAGCUAUGGACCCAAAUCAUAUUCCAGAAAUCCCUUUCCUCCUAUGUUGUUUCCAAACAAGAGGAUCAUUUGUACUUCUUGAGGCCAAGCUGAUUAGCAAAAGCAGAAUCUUAACAUACAGGAAACUUUUCAUCACAUAUUCAUCAAGGUCAAUUAUUUCAGUUAAGAACUGUACCACUUGUGUGAAAUAAUAGACUGUUAAAAUAGACACAAAGGUCUAAUAUAAAAGCUGUAACAACUACUUUCCAGUCUUGUCGGAUUGCCAAGUAUCAACUUCACUUUCACUAAAGCCACCUCGAAACCAAGUCUAUACUGUUUUUGGCGUAUAGAACUCUAUAAAGAGCACUGAACAUUUAAGAUACUAAGCUUGUCUAUAGUUGACAAUUUCAUACAAGUUCUAAUUUAAACUACCAUUUUUUUCCUUCUGGCUUCAAUCCCAAGAUGGUGUCCUUUCAAAGACAACUGGAUAAACGGAGAGGGUGGAAACUUUAAGACCUGCUUUCCUACCGCAUACUGCUCGCUCCCUUUCCUCCUGCCCAUCUUUAUGUUAUCAUAAAAGAAGCAGGUCUUGAGGGGAGGUAGCAAUGUUACAUCAGCUGUAUAACCUACAGUACACGACAAAUACUCUCCUCCUUUACUGAAAUAUGAACAUUUUCUCCAGAAUCUCCUGCACACUACCAAUCCUUUUGACAUCCACCCUGUAGGUUGCAUACUAAAAGGUAAAAAAAAAGUACAGUUCAAUAAAUAACCUUUUGCAAAAAUGUCUUAUUGCUAUAGUGAGAUUUCUAAUCUUCCAAAUUGGAAUAAAACUUAAGGUUUCAGCUCCCUGUGGGGCAACACAGCCAUUUCAUGCGACUGUUUUUAAUGUAGGUUUGGCAGUGGAUUGAAUGGCAUCAAGAAACCUUGCCUGUAACUUAAAGGAGUGUAGCAUGAGCUGAACAGGAAGCCUACCUUCCACUGGACAGAUGCUACACAUGGCAACUGAAAUAUUCCUACAAACUGUGCAGGACAGAGACUUCCCUGAAUUUAUCGUCACCUACCUGAAACUAGACCAUGCUUGUCUGGCCUCUUACAAUCAUAGCCUUUGUCUCACAGCCCUAACAGCAGCACACCGUGGAGUACAAACACCCCUGAAAGACAAAGGCCUCAUAAAACCCACAGAAAAGCUAUUCACUAACACUGGGACUACUUUUAGCCAUGCUAGUAGAGAUCACGCUUUAUUUUUGUGCAUCGUAAAUACAGAAAAAUGUUGAAAACGUAGGACUCAACUAUCUAAUUAAAGCUGAGUAAACUAACCUGGUCAGAUCUUAAUUUUUAAAUGAGAAAUGACAAGAGUAGUAAAUAUAAAGAAAAACAAAAAUAACUUUACUUUCCUAUGUUAAUACAGGUCAAGGGACCCUUUCUUCUGAAAAGGGUUGUUAACACCAGUUCUCAGCAAUAAACAUAAGGCACUUGUUUAGAAUACAACAUCACUGCAUUUUUUUCCCACUUGUUUUUCUAACCCUGUUUCCCCCCACAGUAUCAUUUGGAAUUAAUAGAGUGAAUGAGGCAAAUGUGGGAUGAUCCAGUCGAUACUACUCAGAGCAAGACAGUACAGUACAAUGUUUCGGGGGUGCUGUCUGGACAUAAAACGAACCCUGUCAAGGUCCUCUGACACCAGACAAUGUAUCCACUAUCAAGUAAACCUGAAAGAAAAUAAAAUAUUUAUUCAAUAGUUCCAGUAAAAUUGGGUCGGAGUACAAUAUACAUGUUAGGAAUUUUAGCUCCUCACGGGUGGAAUCUGCAUCAAGAGUUCUGAGUAUUUACGAAUUUUCAUUCUAAGACAGUCUACAUCAGUUGAACAUUGUCAAGACAAAUAUAUGAACUUCAUUUCAAUAUACAGUAGAGUUGAAACAGAAUUCACACAUAAACACCCCCUAUCGUAUGGCUGGUGCCUCCUCCCAACACCUCAGUAGUGGCAGAGGUAGCACUAGUGUUCUUUCCCAACAAUGAGAACUUCGGUUGCCACUCAUAGGAGAAGUUGAAAAAAAGUUUGUGGUGGUGGUGGGGUUUUUUUUGUUUGUUGUUUGCCAUCUGUGAAGAUGUUCCUGAGACAGGGCCAGUUAAUAAAACGGAACAAAGCACUGGAGUUCGGCUUGUACUUCUCUUUACAUCACUAAAUCGUUAGACCGGGACGCAGAAUGCAGGCCACGUACUAUGAAAGGUUGAGUUUAGCACAACUGUUCAAUCAGUAGAAGGAUCAGGUCUCCUGAAAAUUCCCUUUAGAAUAUAUGCCCUAGAAACUAAAAGUACCACAAAAAGAUCAAUCAUAUAUACAAUUGAUUCAUUUUACUUAAUCUUAUUUGCUCAGAUCUUGCAAACGCAACGAGGAUAUUGAGCCUGAGGCCAGUUCUCAGUAUACAGGUUUAUCAUCGUAAGGCUCAGUCUCUCCAUCAAAAUCGCAGUUCUCAGUUUCCUUUCAAAUUAGGAAAUUAGGAAUUACAUUCAUAGUACCUGCCACCAUCCUCGCCCUCAAGGAAAGGUUCAUGCAGGAGCAGCACUACACCUGCAUUACGGAGUCCCCUGACACCGGCACUCAGCCCGCAGCGAACGCAACCAUCUGCGCUCAUUUAACAGCACGUUACAUUGCCUCUGGCUUGCACCUCUGUUUCCACCUGUGUAUUUUCACAGAAGCCCAACACAGAUUAGUUGAAAUAUUCACACAACUGUUUUUCAAAACAAUUUAUUGCAUCAUAUUUGGUACCUUAUGUUUGACAACAAAAAGGAAAUUACAUCUGUAACUGCAGGAAAAAGAAGCUGGUCUGUUAUUGAAAAAAAAAAAUCUUGGGCCCUUUAAAAAUUACAAAGUCUUGGGCUUGCCUGAAACAACUGAGCAAGAAAUAUAUUCUUAGAAAUGUAGGGCUUCAAGUAUUACAAACCUGUGACACUGUGGAAAAAUUCCAGAGGUAUCUAAACUGCAGCACUUUUUUUCUGCAUAUCGUGAACAAGGCCUGCUGAGGUUUUUAACUAUUAGUCUCUUGAUCAGUCAUAGAAUGGUAGUCAGGAGUUCUGCUCUUUAACUUCAAGCCAUGGUAGAUUUUCUUUUUUCACUCUUGGGUGAAAAAAUUCAUGCGUGCUAAUUAGUUGGUGCCACAUCACAGUGCAUUUGGUUCUUGCAUUACAGUUUUAACAAGUUUGGCCAAAACAAUGCUGAAAGGUUUGCAUUGCUAUUUUAGUUCUUCAAGUUUUAGUUAAAAUUGAGAUUGUUCCAACUGGUUCCUUCAGUUAAAAACUGUGGUACAAGAACACCAAACUGAUCAUGUACAGUGAAUUUUGGAAACACAACAAGCAUAUUGAACACCCUCUAGGUUUCUUAGAAAUUCUGCUUGGUAUCUAUAUGUCCCAGCUUCUACAACAUCAAGCAUCUGUUGUAGGUUUCUCUGUAAAUAGUGAUUCACAUUGCAUACUUCCUAUGGUCAGAAUCAACCCCGUAACAAAAUCAGUCAGAUGCUAAAGCCCCAACAACUCUUUGUGCUCAGUGAAAGAAUCCAGUGCUAAAACAGCAUUUAUGCUGUCUGAGAUAUAGUAAAAUCUCACAAGACAAAUUUUAAAGUAAUAUUUCUGCCACACACCUGCUUUGUUAGCUGUAACAGCCUCCAGAUUUUAUAUAAAUUAGUUAAAAAACAUGGGUGGGUAGGUAGGAAUAGAAUAAGGUAUCUUUUUUUUAAUCCCUCAAUUUUAGCAGCUUUUAAUUUUUUAAGAAACUGAACCUAUAUCCUGUAAUACGUUAGAUAUUUUAUAUAUACUUUUUCAGCAGGAUAAAAAACGUAAAACACUAUUUGAAGGCAAGAACAUUUACUCUUCUCAUUCUGUGUAAGUUAGAGCAAUGCAGCAGGUGCGUGACAAAAAUAUUAUACACUAGAUAUGGUCCAAAGUCAUUCCAUUUGCUUGUUUAAUGAUGUUCAGAUUUCAUUGGCCAGUUCUUCAGUUUCUGCAGAACUAUCUCCAUUAACUGUGAUCUUCAUAUCCUCUUCAUAUCCAGGAGGCAUGAAAGCCAAAGCAUAAGGGAAAAGCUUAUGACAAUUUGCUCUAUAAACUUCAGCAGCUUCUUUACAGUCUCCUAGGCUACCAUCACACAAGGCUUCUAAUACCUCCAUACAUGUCUAAAGAAAGAGAAAAGGUAAUAUUAUAACUUGUCCAAAAACAAA